CACAUUACAGCUCUUUUAAAUUUGUCUAGCAGUUUCUGUCUUUACCAGAAGUCCCA
rnacentral:snRNA from 1 species